GAUGAACGCUGGCGGCGUGCCUAAUACAUGCCAGUCGAGCGAACAGACGAGGAGCUUGCUCCUCUGACGUUAGCGGCGGACGGGUGAGUAACACGUGGAUAACCUACCUAUAAGACUGGGAUAACUUCGGGAAACCGGAGCUAAUACCGGAUAAUAUAUUGAACCGCAUGGUUCAAUAGUGAAAGACGGUUUUGCUGUCACUGAUAGAUGGAUCCGCGCCGCAUUAGCUAGUUGGUAAGGUAACGGCUUACCAAGGCAACGAUGCGUAGCCGACCUGAGAGGGUGAUCGGCCACACUGGCACUGAGACACGGUCCAGACUCCUACGGGAGGCAGCAGUAGGGAAUCUUCCGCAAUGGGCGAAAGCCUGACGGAGCAACGCCGCGUGAGUGAUGAAGGUCUUCGGAUCGUAAAACUCUGUUAUUAGGGAAGAACAAAUGUGUAAGUAACUAUGCACGUCUUGACGGUACCUAAUCAGAAAGCCACGGCUAACUACGUG
rnacentral:rRNA from 1 species